GACGAACGCUGGCGGCGUGCUUAACACAUGCAAGUCGAACGAUGAAGCUGGAGCUUGCUCCGGUGGAUUAGUGGCGAACGGGUGAGUAACACGUGAGCAAUCUGCCCUUGACUCUGGGAUAACUGCGGGAAACUGUAGCUAAUACCGGAUACUUUCACUGGAAGGCAUCUUCUGGUGAAGAAAGAAUUUCGGUCAAGGAUGAGCUCGCGGCCUAUCAGCUUGUUGGUGAGGUAACGGCUCACCAAGGCGACGACGGGUAGCCGGCCUGAGAGGGUGACCGGCCACACUGGGACUGAGACACGGCCCAGACUCCUACGGGAGGCAGCAGUGGGGAAUAUUGCACAAUGGGCGCAAGCCUGAUGCAGCAACGCCGCGUGAGGGAUGAAGGCCUUCGGGUUGUAAACCUCUUUUAGCAGGGAAGAAGCGAAAGUGACGGUACCUGCAGAAAAAGCACCGGCUAACUACGUGCCAGCAGCCGCCGCCG
rnacentral:rRNA from 1 species